rnacentral:sRNA from 1 species
UAUGGCGGCUGCGAUACCCUGCGGAGGGU